rnacentral:lncRNA from 1 species
CUCUGGUGAAAUUUAAAAUCUUUUGGUGUUUUCUUUUAACGAUUGCGUUUUGCUGUGGUGUUUCCACAGAAGAUUUUUGAUGUAUGAUGCCUCUUUUGAGUAGAAUUCUGGCAUGUUAAAUUCAGGGUCAUUGUCAGUACAAAUUAUUUUGAUUUUAGUUUCAAAUUGUGUUUCAAUCUUGUUGUGAAAAAUUUGAAUUACAUUGGAAGCACCAGAUAUUUGUCUUAAGAGAUAGACCCAAGUACAUCUGUUAUGAUCAUCAACUAUGGUCAAAAAGUAUCUCGAACCAUCAUGGUUAACUUCAUUACACCAUGGUCUCCAUAAUCACAAUGUAAAAGUUCAAAAUAUUUUUCUGAUCUAUAUUUACUUGAAGGAAAAGAAAUUUUGUGUAACUUUGCUAGAGGACACAUAGGACAUGGCUUCUUAUUUAUGGCAAAUAAACAGAUAAACAUAAAGUGGGGUGUGAUGAAUGACCUAAUCUAUAGUGCCAUAGGUCCAAUUCUUUAGAAUUGUUCACAAUUGAAGCAGCAGUAGGAAGUUUAGUGGAGAUUGAGGCGAGAGUGUCUAUUAAUGCUGAAGGACAUACUUUCUUUUGCAGCAAGUGGUACAGUCCAUGAUGCACCUUACCCAUUCUAGUUGUUGUCCAAGUUGAAAGAUCCUGAAUAAAACAAGUUUCAGAGAAGAAAAUAAGGCAACAAUUUAAACUUUGUGUCAUUUUCCUAGCUGAAAUGAGGUUGAAAGAAAAUGAAGGAGUGUAUAAUACAUUUUUCAGAGUGAUGGAAUCUGUGAAUUUUACAGACCCAACAAGACUAAUAGAAGCCAUAUCUCCAUUGGGUAAAGUUACUAGAAACAAAAUAGAUAUUGGAUUUGAAGAAAAAAAGUAGGUGGAAUAGACCACAUGGUCUGUUGUCCCCGUGUUUGAUAUCCAGGGAGCAGUAAUGACAUCAUGGUGCUUUGUAUUAAAUGCUAAUAAACCAAGAGAAAUACUAGAUAAUUUUGGUAUAGAAACAUUAGUGGAAGUGGUAGCAAUGCUUUGACCAUGACUGGCAAUGACAAGGUUGAGUUAUUGGUGAUGUUUUAGGUUAAGUAGUGCCAUUAGUGGGGAAUACUGCUCUGGUGUUAAAGAAAGUUGUGUGUUAUCAUUGUACUACUCAUGAUUAAAAGGCAUAAGUGUAGUGACUACGUUAAUAGAAGGUCUAGUAGUUUUGUUCAUUCUUUCUAAUUUGUGUCCUGGAGGGUGUCCAUGUAGUUUGUAGCACCUAUCUAUUGAGUGUCCAGGAAUUUGACAGUGGAAAUAUGGUGCCUUGUUAGGAUUAGCUUUGCGACACCUUUCAAAGGAGUGACUGGGAAUCUUACAAAAGGUGCAAUAAUACCUGUUCUUCCUUGGAUUUCCUUGAUAUGAUUUUCCCACACUGAAAUUUCCUUUUGCUAACAUUGCCAUAGAGUCAUCAGUUGGAUUGUCAAAAGAAAUUUGUCGCCUCUUUUCUUCUUGUUGGAUAAAAGCAUGUGCUUCAUUCAAGCUUGAGAAUGGUUUAAUUAGAAGAAUCUGUGCCUUUAGACUUUUGUAAGUAUCAUUAAGCCCCAUUAAGAAUUUUAUAACCCAAUUUCUUUGUUGGUUAUUUAUCAUGAUUUUCAAUCCUUCACAAGACAGCUAGGAACAGAUUCAUAAUUCAUCAAUUCAUCUAAGAGUGUCUUCAAUUUCAAAAAAUACACACUUACAUUGUCCCGAUUUUGCAGUAAAUUGGCAAUGUUAUGCUUAAUUUCAAAGAUCCGUGGUGCAUUUUGUUGGGCAAAUCUUUGCUCAAGUUCCUUC